GGGAGUGCUUCGUGCUUCUGGUU
rnacentral:miRNA from 7 species